rnacentral:misc_RNA from 1 species
GAACGUAAUAAAUUCAACAGAUCUCUACCUUAUAUCAUAAAAUAUUAAGAUUGACAGUUUUUUUUCACAAAGAUUAGCCAUAUGAUUGAGCUGCCAAUUCCAUCAAGCAGUGUUACAAUACAUGGUAGUUGUACUCAUAAAAAAUAACAGUGAACAUAUAUUUGUUUGUACCCUCCAUGGCUUCUCAGCCAUUAGCUUCACAGAUGUAUAUGUGAUGGACCCAAACAGCAAAGCAACAGAAGACAGAAGUUCAUGGGGAGGAGAAAGCGUCAUCAGGGUCCAGCCACCUCUGCUGGCUUUCUGAGAACAUGUUUCCAUGUUCUGAGCUGCUUACCAGAGCUUGAAAAACAUUUCGAACCUUAUUCAAGCUUUUAUGGUGACGGAGGCGUUUGAGGAUAACUUCUUUAUCCAAGGCCUUGCAAGAGGAAGCCUGUGAUGAUGAUGAUUUUAAUUGAAUCUGGGUGCUAAUAGGACCAAGCUGUGAUAGAUUUUCUUUGUCCUCUGUUGUGAGAGAUUGCUGAGACCGAGAAAUCACAAAUGCCAUUUUUCUGCAGGGAAAAUGAAGUGGGUAUUGAGAAUUGACGUAUAGGAGAGUGGCAAUGGCAGUGGCCGGGUCUCAUUUAUACAGAAGGGCGAGGUUUCAGCGGGAGCUUUAGUUUCGGUUUUGCUGUGUUAGUGGUUUGGUGGGCAAUCCAAAAUCAGUGGGCUUCUGAAAAUGUGCAUGUAUUUUGCGAGCUGUGGGUGAUUUAAGGUGACACAAUAAAGCUGCUUUAACUAAAAAUUUAAGUCCUGUUUCCAACUUAUAAUAUUUUAAAUGUUUAAAAAAUAAUUUAACUGUUUUUAAAAUUAUUAUAGCAAAAAAUUUAUCAAAUUUAUUUGAAAAUCAAAUUUAUAUUUUUUAAUAACGUUUUUUUAAUUAUUUAGAAGGAAAUUAUUCUGAAUUUCUAAGUUGUAGUAUAUGAAUCUUGACGUGACAAUUUCAUUUUUUUUUAAAUUUAUUUUGAGAUAGAAAUGCGCCAUUGAAAGAGGGAAA